rnacentral:rRNA from 1 species
AACGAACGCUGGCGGCAUGCCUAACACAUGCAAGUCGAACGAGACCUUCGGGUCUGGUGGCGCACGGGUGCGUAACGCGUGGGAACCUGCCCUUAGGUUCGGAAUAACUCCCGGAAAGGGGUGCUAAUACCGGAAAAUGUCUUCGGACCAAAGGUUUGUCGCCUUUGGAGGGGCCUGCGUUGGAUUAGCUAGUUGGUAGGGUAAAAGCCUACCAAGGGGACGAUCCAUAGCUGGUCUGAGAGGAUGAGCAGCCACACUGGGACUGAGACACGGCCCAGACUCCUACGGGAGGCAGCAGUGGGGAAUAUUGGACAAUGGGCGAAAGCCUGAUCCAGCAAUGCCGCGUGAGUGAUGAAGGCCUUAGGGUUGUAAAGCUCUUUUACCCGGGAUGAUAAUGACAGUACCGGGAGAAUAAGCUCCGGCUAACUCCGUG